rnacentral:misc_RNA from 1 species
UCUCCGUUGGUGAACCAGCGGAGGGAUCAUUACCGAGUGCAAACUCAUAACCCUUUGUGAACCUAUAUCUGUUGCUUCGGCGGCUCGCUCUCGGGCGAGCCCGCCGGUAAUAUCAGUAUCUCUGUUUGAACCCGACGAUACUUUUGAGUGUUCUUAGCGAACAGUUAAAACUUUUAACAACGGAUCUCUUGGCUCUA